rnacentral:rRNA from 1 species
AUGCGGCCACCGGCCCCCACUCACCUCGCCGACGCGCUCAUCAGCCCCGCCGUCGUUCCCUACGCAUCCUGCCACCUCGGGUUGGAGCUCGGAGCCCCUACAGUGGCCGCAACGACCUCAUCUCCCUUCCCUGUUACGUCGUCAUCGCCGGACUCCGCCGCCCUUCGACCACCAUCGGCUUCCCCUGGCCUUCGCAACAACGAUAACCCCAGGACCGAUGUUGCCCCUGUGAUCGACUACGUCCCCGACGACACCCCUGACGACCUUGCCUUUGCCGCUGAGCAACCAGAUGACGGAGCCCCUGAGACCGCUGCCACCGCCGCUGACUACUACUACCCCGAGGGUGCCUAG